AUUGAACGCUGGCGGCAGGCCUAAUACAUGCAAGUCGAGCGGAGCGGCUGACUGCUGAGUAAUGCCUAGGAAUCUGCCUGCUCGUGGGGAAUCACGUCCUGAAACUGGCGCUCAUACCGCAUACUAGCUGAUGAGCCUAGGUCGGAUUAGCUAGUUGGUUGGGUAAAGGCGUAACAAGGCGACGAGGCGUAACUGGUCUGAGCGGAUGAUCAGUCACACUGGAACUGAGACACGGACCAGACUCCUACGGGAGGCAGCAGUGGGGAAUAUUGGACAAUGGGCGAAAGCCUGAUCGAGCAAUGCCGCGUGAGUGAAGAAGGUUUUCGGAUUGUAAAGCUCUGUAAGUGGGGAGGCGUUACCAACAGAGAAAGCACCGGCUAACUUCGUGCCAGCAGCCGCGGUAAUAC
rnacentral:rRNA from 1 species